UACUCUCUCCUCGCCGUCUCCUCAGCCAUUCGCCCUGCGCCCGCUGACGUGACGAGUCCCCGGUUGUGUUACGGCGGUGAAGCGGUGUUGCGUCUGUCCCUGGCGGGCAUGUUGUGGUGGACUGCGGUGUGGAGGGAGAGGUGGAUGCCUUCUCUCCCCUUCCCUCCCUCCCUGCUCCCUUCCUAGCCUGCCCGCCACCCUCUCCCCGCUUUUCCCUGCCUGUCCUCCCCUGCUCCUCGUGUCCCAGGUGACCCAUGAACUACCUCUAACAAUGGUGAUGAAGAACCAGAAGUGGGUUGUAGGUGACGAGAUAACUAUCCCAGGUCAUCCCGGAAGUGGCGAGGUGACCCCAUACAGCUCCACAAGGUCGUGGAGGACACCAGACAUAGCCACGUGGUCGCCUACACUCAGCCAUCCACCUCACCUGCCCCAGACUGCUACCCGGACACCAUCCAGCCACAAGAACCCAGAUAAGCACUUCCGGGGUCCUUGGUUGUGGUUAGCUAGCUAGUUUGUUUAGGGGUCACUUGCUGUACAUAGGAACCCUCCUCGGUCUGAUGCUAUUUUUUUUUAUUUUUAUUUUUGAGGUGUAACGCUGUGCUCUACGUGAGAGUGAUAGUGUUUAUCUUUAUUUAUUUUUUUUUUUUCCUGAAGACCAGUUCUGAUGUUAUCUUGGAGGUUAACGGAGAAGAGUUCUUCACAACUGUGUUUGUUGUUUUAUUUUAUUUUUUUAUUGGUCACUUUUUGUUUUUUGUUGUGAUUGUUAUUAAUUUUAUUUAUUUGUAUUGAAAUAUGUGAGUGUGAAUGCAGCACAAUAUAUAAAGGUGUGCAUUCCAGAGUGAAAGGAAGGCGUGCACAGGGUAGAGUGCACAGGAUGCAGUGCCUUGUUUUUAUCACCAGACCUUGAUUGACUGAAGCAAAUGAAAACUUUGGUGUGAGUACCUUACAAAGACACUUGACAAUACUAAUGUCACCUCACCUCGUGGUUUCACCUUAAACCUACAAACAUUGGCUGGACACAAGGUCAUAGAAAUAAUUUAUUCUCAUUUAUUCUCAUCUUUACAAAUUACAGUCUUUACACAUCAAAGUAACUAAUCACCUUUAUUCAUCCACUUGAGGGGGUUGAAGGAUCGCUAAUCCAAUAUUAAAUUGCCUGUGUUCAACUCGCCUCUCCUCCCUCAUUUAUUGACCUAUUCAUUUAAAAAAUAUUUUGAUCAGGAAGGUUGCAAGAAGAAUGUCUGCUAUCUUUUUUUUUUGUACGAUAAGUUUUUUUUUCGAUGAAAAAAGUAAAAAAAAAAACUGUGUCAAAUAUUUACUUUCAAAUAUGUCAGAAAUCAAAAUCAGUUACAAACAAAAAUGACGACAGCAGACUUUGUUCGCCUCUCACAGCUUGAUAAGCCGCAAUGGCCCAUCUGUGUGUAACACCAAUAACAACGGAGAUCAUUUUUAUAUGCCAAAAUCCGCCAUUUUAAGUUAUGUCAAAGUUUAAGGGGUGACUAUAAUACACCUAUUGCAGCUAAGGACUUGAAAUUCACAUGAUAUAUACAUCACAAUAUGUUGAAAAACAGAUAUAGAUUAAUUUAGUUACUACGAUCGGUUUUGUACAUAGGCCUAAAGUAAUUCAUGAUUUCACCCUUAAUUCCCCGGGGGGGAGGGGGGAAGGCGGGUGAAAACAAUUUUUGUUAUAUUUCGACUUUUAGAUCAAAACCAGUGUUUAACUGUUUGAAAUAAAUAAAAUAUUAAUGCAAAAGAUAUCUAAUGCAGACACAUUGACUAUUUCCUAGAUUUACGGAAAAAUAUUUAUCUCAUUUUUCGUAUAUAAAUUUGAAAAAAAUAGUUAGACCUAAAAUUACGUACUCUCUAAUGUUGUACGCAGCAAAAGAACCAUAGAUAUUCAUAGGAGACUGAGGAAGAACGGGUACGCCAGAAAGAAAAAAAAAAAAAAAGUCAUGUCUCGCAGCGGGUGAAACCGUGAAAUUUCAUAACAGAAGACCUCAUUACAUUAGGGGAUAUAUAUAUAUAUAUAUAUAUAUAUAUAUAUAUAUAUAUAUAUAUAUAUAUAUAUAUAUAUAUAUAUAUAUAUAUAUAUAUCAAAACAUUACAUAUAUAAAAAAUGGGAAAAAAAAUGUAGAAAAUAAAAAAAUAAAAAAAAAAUUCAUAUCCGGAUCGUACAACGACACCCUUGAUGCAAAACAUGUUUGCGCGCCUGACGAUGUUAAGACACACGACACACACUUCCCUUGAGAAAAGAUGAUAGCCUUCACGAGUGUCUUACUAUUUCUUUGCAGAGCCCCUCUUCUUGAUGACGACGCGUACACUGUCAGCUACACUUUGCAGUGUCUCACUUAAAUUUUUCUCUAUCUUUGUAUCUCUCCAUUUCAGAUAAAUUGUUAUCUUUCCAAGGGUUGAGGAGAACAUGGUCGUGGUUCAAGUGAAGCCACUACAGCCACUCCCUGACAAGCCUUCCACACCGACAGACAGUGGCAGCAGACACACAAGAGACGAUGGUGUGGUGGACAAGAGGAUGCAGGGAGACAGCAGACAGAAUGGAAGUUACAGAUGAAAGAAGAGCAGGUCAAGCCAUGGCAGCAGACACAUAGACAGACAGAUUGGAUAAGAAAGAAGUAUUAUUUAGUGAGACAGGACCACUGGAAGCUGUCAGAGUGCUGUGGCACGUGGCAAGAACCAAGUGUUCAGGAGCACACACUGUCCCUUUACCAGUCAGCAGGUCUGGGCGGCUUGGAAGCCUCACUACAAACUGAAGACCCGUUCACUUGAAGGACACAGUUGGAGUCGGACACAAGAUCCAAGAGGGAGUUAUUUUUAAACGAGAGCUUCAGGCAGAAAAUUCGAGUGGAUUUUCAACUCUAAAAAUAACUUUUUGGGGGGGAUAUUUUGAACCUUCUUUAUCUUGAAAAAUAACUCCAGAUAUUAUGACUCUAGCUGGAAGUUGACCUGAGCAAUGUAGGGUUUGCUGCAGUGAGAUUACCAAGGCACGAGUGUCUGGGAUUUAAAAAUGAUGGAUAUGUGUCCUGUGUGCUGCUGUGCUGGGAGGAGAGGAGCAGCAGCAGUCGUGGGGCUCUGUUGCUGCUGUCAUUGGUGCAGCCGUUCACUCCUGCAGCUACCUUCCCUCAACAUACUGUGUCUUCCCUCACCUGCAAUGAACAACUAUGAACAAUACUUCUCCUGCGAUGAGGAACAGUGAAUAACACCUCUCUCUCUCUCUCUCUCUCUCUCUCUCUCUCUCUCUCUCUCUCUCUCUCUCUCUCUCUCUCUCUCUCUCUCUCUCUCU